ACAAAGGGCUUCUGUCGGGAGUGGCACAGGCAGGGCAGCUUGGUUGUUCUACAUGCGGAGUCGACACCAAGAGACUUUGGGAGCCUACUUUUCUGGUACCCGGGCAGCUGGUGGUCAUUGGUCCUGGUGCCCAC